CGGGAAGCAGACAAACGCCCUUCGGGGCGUGCGCCUGUGGAACGAGCGGCGGACGGGUGAGUAACACGUGGGCAACCUACCUGUGAGACUGGGAUAACUCGUGGAAACGCGAGCUAAUACCGGAUAACACUUCCGGCUGCAUGGCCGGGAGUUGAAAGGCGGCAUAAGCUGCGCACUCACAGAUGGGCCCGCGGCGCAUUAGUUAGUUGGUGAGGUAAGAGCUCACCAAGGCCACGAUGCGUAGCCGACCUGAGAGGGUGAUCGGCCACACUGGGACUGAGACACGGCCCAGACUCCUACGGGAGGCAGCAGUAGGGAAUCAUCCGCAAUGGACGAAAGUCUGACGGUGCAACGCCGCGUGAGUGAUGAAGAUUUUCGGAUCGUAAAACUCUGUUGUCAGGGAAGAACACGUGCUGUUCGAAUAGGACAGUACCUUGACGGUACCUGACCAGAAAGCCCCGGCUAACUACGUGCCAGCAGCCGCGGUAAUACGUAGGGGGCAAGCGUUGUCCGGAAUUAUUGGGCGUAAAGCGCGCGCAGGCGGUCUUUUAAGUCUGAUGUGAAAUCCCGCGGCUCAACCGCGGGUGGUCAUUGGAAACUGGAGGACUUGAGUGCAGAAGAGGAGAGUGGAAUUCCACGUGUAGCGGUGAAAUGCGUAGAGAUGUGGAGGAACACCAGUGGCGAAGGCGACUCUCUGGUCUGUAACUGACGCUGAGGUGCGAAAGCGUGGGUAGCGAACAGGAUUAGAUACCCUGGUAGUCCACGCCGUAAACGAUGAGUGCUAGGUGUUAGGGGGUUUC
rnacentral:rRNA from 1 species